UCCGAAGGGGGCUAGCGUUGCUCGGAAUCACUGGGCGUAAAGGGUGCGUAGGCGGGUCUUUAAGUCAGGGGUGAAAUCCUGGAGCUCAACUCCAGAACUGCCUUUGAUACUGAAGAUCUUGAGUUCGGGAGAGGUGAGUGGAACUGCGAGUGUAGAGGUGAAAUUCGUAGAUAUUCGCAAGAACACCAGUGGCGAAGGCGGCUCACUGGCCCGAUACUGACGCUGAUGCACGAAAGCGUGGGGAGCAAACAGG
rnacentral:rRNA from 1 species